UGGUCGAGUGGCACGCGGUGGGACGCGCGCCGAGAAUGGACCCUGGUCUUGCCGUCACUGACGUGAACGUCGCUGUGCCCCGGCAGCGCGCGUU
rnacentral:ncRNA from 1 species